GAUGAACGCUGGCGGCGUGCCUAAUACAUGCAAGUCGAGCGAAAAGACCAUGCGCUUGCUCCUCUGACGUUAGCGGCGGACGGGUGAGUAACACGAGGAUAACCUACCUAUAAGACUGGGAUAACUUCGGGAAACCGGAGCUAAUCCCGGAUAAUAUAUUGAACCGCAUGGUUCAAUAGUGAAAGACGGUUGUGCUGUCAGUUAUAGAGGGAUCCGCGCCGCAUUAGCUAGUUGGUAAGGUAAAGGCUUACCAAGGCAACGAGGCGUUGACGACCUGAGAGGGUGAUAGGCCACACGGGAACUGAGACACGGUCCAGACGCCUACGGGAGGCAGCAGUAGGGAAUCUUACGCAAUGGGCGAAAGCAUGACGGAGCAACGCCGCGUGAGUGAUGAAGGUCUUCGGAUCGUAAAACUCUGUUAUUAGGGAAGAACAAAUGUGUAAGUAACUAUGCACGUAUUGACGGUACCUAAUCAGAAAGCCACGGCUAACUACGUG
rnacentral:rRNA from 1 species